rnacentral:misc_RNA from 1 species
AAAGUCGUAACAAGGUUUCCGUAGGUGAACCUGCGGAAGGAUCAUUAAUUUCGGUAGGCAACUACCGUUUGAGGGCAGUAGAAACUCUUUGGGGUCGCCCCUAAAGGGAAGUAUGCUGCUUUUCUUAACCCUUUGACUUUUUGCAAACCCAAGUUUCCUCGGCAGGCUUGCCUGCCGGCUGGACAAUUUAUAAACCUUUUUAAUUCUCAAUCAGCGUCUGAAUAAUUAUAAUAAUUACAACUUUCAACAACGGAUCUCUUGGUUCUG